rnacentral:rRNA from 1 species
GAAGCAGGAGGGACCACCCUCCAAGGCUAAAUACUACCUAGUGACCGAUAGCGUAUAGUACCGUGAGGGAAAGGUGAAAAGAACCCCGGGAGGGGAGUGAAAUAGAACCUGAAACCCUGCACUUACAAGCUGUGGAAGCACAUUUCUUGUGUGACCGCGUACUUUUUGUAGAACGGGCCAACGAGUUACGUUAAGUAGCAAGGUUAAGCACUUAAGGUGCGGAGCCGUAGCGAAAGCGAGUUUUAACUGAGCGUUCAGUUACUUGACGUAGACCCGAAACCGGGCGACCUACCCAUGAGCAGGAUGAAGCGAAAGUAAAAUUUCGUGGAGGUCCGAACCCACGAGCGUUGAAAAGCUCGGGGAUGACUUGUGGGUAGCGGUGAAAUUCCAAUCGAGCCCGGAGAUAGCUGGUUCUCCCCGAAAUAGCUUUAGGGCUAGCCUCAAGGUGAGAGAUACGGAGGUAGAGCACUGAAUGUCCUAGGGGGUAUUGCACCUACCGAAGACUAUCAAACUCCGAAUGCCGUCAUCUUAUACUUGGGAGUCAGACUGUGGGUGAUAAGAUUCAUAGUCGAAAGGGCAACAGCCCAGAUCGUCAGCUAAGGUCCCUAAAUGUAAGUUAAGUGGUAAAGGAUGUGGGAUUGCACAGACAACCAGGAUGUUGGCUUAGAAGCAGCCACUCAUUCAAAGAGUGCGUAAUAGCUCACUGGUCGAGUGAUCCUGCGCCGAAGAUUUCCGGGGCUAAAACUUACUACCGAAGCUACGGCAUCAGUAAUGAUGGGUAGGGGAGCUUCCCAUACGGGUUGAAGCAUGACCGUAAGGACAUGUGGACAGUAUGGGAGUGAGAAUGUUGGCAUGAGUAGCGAGAUGUGGGUGAGAAUCCCACAGGCCGUAAACCCAAGGUUUCCAGGGGAAGGUUCGUCCGCCCUGGGUUAGUCGGGACCUAAGCUGAGGCCGAAAGGCGUAGGUGAUGGACAACAGGUUGAUAUUCCUGUACUACCGAUAACCGUUUGAGAGAAGGGAUGACACAGUAGGAUAAGCUAAGCACACUGUUGGUUAUGUGUGCCCAAGCAUUGAGGCAGUCAAAGUAGGCAAAUCCGCUUUGAUAAUGCUGGGAUGUGAUGGGGAGCGAAAUUUAGUAGCGAAGUAGCUGAUUUCACACUGUCAAGAAAAGUCUCUAUCGAGGUUAAAGGUACCCGUACCGCAAACCGACACAGGUG